AAGGUAAAUUGAGAAAUCGCCUCGACGUCAAAGUCGAGGAGGAAAGUCCGGACAUCAACCAUUGCUUUGCAAUGGAUCGGUAGCGGGUAAUACCCGUCUAGGGUAACCUACGAGGUGCGAGCAGAGACGCUGUAAUUCGAAAGGAUUGCAGAUUCCGUAUAAAAGCGGAAUAGUCUUCGAAAUAAACUUAGGGCUUGCUCUGAGUGAAGUCGAGGAGUGAAACGGCUAAAUCCUUACCUAGAUGCAAGGUCGUACGCCAAUGCGAAGCAUUGUGAAUUUCAUGAUAGUGUUUCGAUGAAGUUUAUAGUGUUUCGUAUUGGCGGGUACUGCAAGAGCCAAUCAGCAAUGUUUGGCCUAGAUAAAUGAUUUCUUUCAACAAAAUCCGGCUUAUAGAUUUGCCUUGAAA
rnacentral:RNase_P_RNA from 1 species